rnacentral:pre_miRNA from 1 species
GUGGUACAAGAAAUCUACUUUAUUCAGCACACUAACCUAAUUUCCGAGACAUGUUACAUACCUGAAACAUGUCUUAGAAAUUAGGAUUUUUCUUAGUUUGUGUGCUGAACAAAGUAGAUUCCUUGUAUCCA